GGGAAUCUUCCACAAUGGGCGAAAGCCUGAUGGAGCAACGCCGCGUGGGUGAAGAAGGUCUUCGGAUCGUAAAACCCUGUCCUCAAGGAAGAUAAUGACGGUACUUGAGGAGGAAGCCCCGGCUAACUACGUGCCAGCAGCCGCGGUAAUACGUAGGGGGCUAGCGUUAUCCGGAAUUACUGGGCGUAAAGGGUGCGUAGGUGGUUUCUUAAGUCAGAGGUGAAAGGCUACGGCUCAACCGUAGUAAGCCUUUGAAACUGGGGAACUUGAGUGCAGAAGAGGAGAGUGGAACUCCAUGUGUAGCGGUGAAAUGCGUAGAUAUAUGGAAGAACACCAGUGGCGAAAGCGGCUCUCUGGUCUGUAACUGACGCUGAGGCUCGAAAGCGUGGGGAGCA
rnacentral:rRNA from 1 species